rnacentral:rRNA from 1 species
GAUGAACGCUGGCGGCGUGCCUAAUACAUGCAAGUCGAACGCGCAGCGAAAGGUGCUUGCACCUUUCAAGCGAGUGGCGAACGGGUGAGUAACACGUGGAUAACCCGCCUCAAGGCUGGGGAUAACAUUUGGAAACAGUUGCUAAUACCGAAUAAAACUUAGUAUCGCAUGAUACAAAGUUAAAAGGCGCUACGGCGUCACCUAGAGAUGGAUCCGCGGGGCAUUAGUUAGUUGGUGGGGUAAAGGCUUACCAAGACGAUGAUGCAUAGCCGAGUUGAGAGACUGAUCGGCCACAUUGGGACUGAGACACGGCCCAAACUCCUACGGGAGGCUGCAGUAGGGAAUCUUCCACAAUGGGCGCAAGCCUGAUGGAGCAACGCCGCGUGUGUGAUGAAGGCUUUCGGGUCGUAAAGCACUGUUGUAUGGGAAGAAAUGCUAAAAUAGGGAAUGAUUUUAGUUUGACGGUACCAUACCAGAAAGGGACGGCUAAAUACGUGCCAGCCGCCGCGGUAA